rnacentral:rRNA from 1 species
UAUGGGACGAGAAGACCCUAUAGAGUUUUACACUUUUAUUUAUUGUUAUUAUUUGUUUUGAUUUCUUGUUUUUUAAAUAAGUUUAUUGUGUUUUGUUGGGGUGAUGGGAAGAAUUUGUUUAACUCUUCUUUAUUUUGUAUACAUUUAUUUGUGUAAUUAUGAUCCAUUUUUUAUGAUUAAAAGAUUAAAUUACCUUAGGGAUAACAGCGUUAUCCCCCUUGAGAGUUCUUAUUGGCAGGGGGGUUUGCGACCUCGAUGUUGGAUUAAGGUUGAUUUUUGGUGUAGGAGCUGAAUAUAAAUAUUGGGUCUGUUCGACCUUUAAAAUCUUACAUGAUCUGAGUUCAAACCGGCGUGAGCCAGGUUGGUUUCUAUCUAUAAUGGUUUUGUAUACUUUAGUACGAGAGGACCAGGUGUGCGGAAUAAUUUUAAUUUUUGUUGAUUUUCAUUAACUU